UACGUAGGGUGCAAGCGUUGUCCGGAAUUAUUGGGCGUAAAGGGCUCGUAGGCGGUCUGUCACGUCGGGAGUGAAAACUCAGGGCUUAACCCUGAGCCUGCUUCCGAUACGGGCUGACUAGAGGUAUGCAGGGGAGAACGGAAUUCCUGGUGUAGCGGUGAAAUGCGCAGAUAUCAGGAGGAACACCGGUGGCGAAGGCGGGUCUCUGGGCCGUAACUGACGCUGAGGAGCGAAAGCGUGGGGAGCGAACAGG
rnacentral:rRNA from 1 species